CACAUCUUAAACUUCAAAUGACUAUAAUGCCCUUAUAUCAAUGAUAGGAUAAAUAUCACCUUCCAUUAAGUAAAGAAAACAUCACUUUUUCAAUCUAUUAUCUUUGAGCCAAAUUAAUUAAGUUAAGAUGGUUUCUCUUAAACAAGCUUUUCUCUUCAUUGCUCUCUUUGUUGCAAUCUCAGUUAGUAUCUCUUGGGGUCCUAAAGUGGUGGCUUUAAGAGACUUACCAAUUGAUAUUACAAAGAUGAAAGUAAACUUACUUUUUUUAUUUGGUAAUGAUAUGACUUGUUAUUGAUUUUGCAAUUCACAUAGCGAUUGCAGUGAUGGAACUUUAUGUAAAACUUGUUCUGAACGUGGACUUUAUAAUUAUCGUUAUUGGGAUUGUUCCGUGUUUUGAAGUUUAGGAUUGUUACUGGUGAAUGUUAUUUUGGAACUAUCCUUCGACCAAGUUAAAUAAUGUUGUGAUUCUAAGCAAGUUAAAGAGUAUGCGUGUUGUUAUGGGUGAAGUAUCCUUAGAGCGGGCAGAUUAUACUUACUACGUGCAAAGGAUGAAUGUAAUUACUAUUUUAUGUUUGAUAUGUCUUUGUGUAUAUUCAAGAAUUUUAAGUAAUGUUGUGUUUCCAAGUUUGUAUAAUCAGAGGAUAAAUAUGUAACCUAGCUUGUUUUCCAAAUAUAGGGGAACCAUCUAACUAUUGUAAUAUAUGGGUUAUAACUUAAAUAAAUGUAUAUUGUUAA